rnacentral:rRNA from 1 species
UACAGAGGGGGCAAGCGUUGUUCGGAAUUACUGGGCGUAAAGGGCGCGUAGGCGGCCUGUUAAGUCGAACGUGAAAUCCCCGGGCUCAACCCGGGAACUGCGUCCGAUACUGGCAGGCUUGAAUUCGGGAGAGGGAUGUGGAAUUCCAGGUGUAGCGGUGAAAUGCGUAGAUAUCUGGAGGAACACCGGUGGCGAAGGCGGCAUCCUGGACCGAUAUUGACGCUGACGCGCGAAAGCCAGGGGAGCAAACGGG